GGGUGGAUUAGUGGCGAACGGGUGAGUAACACGUGAGUAACCUGCCCUUAACUCUGGGAUAAGCCUGGGAAACUGGGUCUAAUACCGGAUAGGAGCGYCYACCGCAUGGUGGGUGUUGGAAAGAUUUAUCGGUUUUGGAUGGACUCGCGGCCUAUCAGCUUGUUGGUGAGGUAAUGGCUCACCAAGGCGACGACGGGUAGCCGGCCUGAGAGGGUGACCGGCCACACUGGGACUGAGACACGGCCCAGACUCCUACGGGAGGCAGCAGUGGGGAAUAUUGCACAAUGGGCGMAAGCCUGAUGCAGCGACGCCGCGUGAGGGAUGACGGCCUUCGGGUUGUAAACCUCUUUCAGUAGGGAAGAAGCGAAAGUGACGGUACCUGCAGAAGAAGCACCGGCUAACUACGUGCCAGCAGCCGCGGUAAUACGUAGGGUGCGAGCGUUAUCCGGAAUUAUUGGGCGUAAAGAGCUCGUAGGCGGUUUGUCGCGUCUGUCGUGAAAGUCCGGGGCUUAACCCCGGAUCUGCGGUGGGUACGGGCAGACUAGAGUGCAGUAGGGGAGACUGGAAUUCCUGGUGUAGCGGUGGAAUGCGCAGAUAUCAGGAGGAACACCGAUGGCGAAGGCAGGUCUCUGGGCUGUAACUGACGCUGAGGAGCGAAAGCAUGGGGAGCGAACAGGAUUAGAUACCCUGGUAGUCCAUGCCGUAAACGUUGGGCACUAGGUGUGGGGACCAUUCCACGGUUUCCGCGCCGCAGCUAACGCAUUAAGUGCCCCGCCUGGGGAGUACGGCCGCAAGGCUAAAACUCAAAGGAAUUGACGGGGGCCCGCACAAGCGGCGGAGCAUGCGGAUUAAUUCGAUGCAACGCGAAGAACCUUACCAAGGCUUGACAUGUUCUCGAUCGCCGUAGAGAUACGGUUUCCCCUUUGGGGCGGGUUCACAGGUGGUGCAUGGUUGUCGUCAGCUCGUGUCGUGAGAUGUUGGGUUAAGUCCCGCAACGAGCGCAACCCUCGUUCCAUGUUGCCAGCACGUAAUGGUGGGGACUCAUGGGAGACUGCCGGGGUCAACUCGGAGGAAGGUGAGGACGACGUCAAAUCAUCAUGCCCCUUAUGUCUUGGGCUUCACGCAUGCUACAAUGGCCGGUACAAUGGGUUGCGAUACUGUGAGGUGGAGCUAAUCCCAAAAAGCCGGUCUCAGUUUAGA
rnacentral:rRNA from 1 species